GGGAUUGCCUCAGUAGCGGCGAGUGAAGCGGCAAAAGCUCCAUUUUGAAAGCUCUUCGGAGCGUUGUAGAUUGGUGGGAAGCUAACGGCUGGUGGGAGACCAAGUCCUCUGGAACGAGGCGCCAUAGAGGGUGAGAGCCCCGUGUGUCUCCUUUACCGACCUUUCAGCCCCCUCCGCGGAGUCGAGUUGUUUGGGAAUGCAGCUCUAAGUGGGUGGUAAAUUCCAUCUAAGGCUAAAUAUUGGCGAGAGACCGAUAGCGAACAAGUACAGUGAUGGAAAGAUGAAAAGCACUUUGAAAAGAGAGUGAAACAGUACGUGAAAUUGUUGAAAGGGAAGGGUAUUUGGCCCGACAUGGGUCCUAUGCACCGUUGCCUCUCGUGGGCGGCGCUCUGCUUGGGCCUGGGCCAGCGUCAGUUUGGAGGGGGCGAGAAGGGUUUUGGGGAGUUGCCUAGCAAUUCCCCUUUGCUAGAUUGCCCCACACCGGACUGAGGACCGCCAUCUGUAGGAUGCUGGCACAACGGCCAAAUACCGCCCGUCUUGAAACACGGACC
rnacentral:rRNA from 1 species